rnacentral:rRNA from 1 species
AUUGAACGCUGGCGGCAGGCCUAACACAUGCAAGUCGAGCGGAUGAAGGGUGCUUGCUCCUGGAUUCCGCGGCGGACGGGUGAGUAAUGCCUAGGAAUCUGCCUGGUAGUGGGGGAUAACGUCCGGAAACGGGCGCUACUACCGCAUAAGUCCUGCGGGAGCAAGAGGGGGAUCUUCGGAACUCACGCUAUCAGAUGAGCCUAGGUGGGGUUAGCUAGUUUGUGGGGUAAAGACCUACCAAGGGGACGAUCCGUAACUGGUCUGUGAGGAGGAUCAGUCACACUGGAACGUGGACACGGUCCAGACGCCUAAGGGAGGCAGCAGUGGGGAAUAUUGGACAAUGGUCGAAAGCCUUAUCCAGCCAUGCCGCGUGUGUUAAGAAGGUCUUCGGAUUGGAAUGCACUCUAUGGUGUUGGGAAGGGCAGUAAGUUAAUACCUUGCUGUUUUGACGUUACCAACAGAAGAAGCACCGGCUAACUACGUG